UUUUUUAUUAUUUUGUAGGUGUAUGAAGUGUUAUGGAGGCGCGAUAAGUACAAAUUAAUCUUGGACUCAAAUUAAAUCGAAUGUGGUAUGUUUUGGAUUUAAAAGAGCCUUAAAGGCCAGUCUACUUAGUUUUCUUCCGAACUAGAUUUGCGAUGCGAGCCAUCACAUUUGCGCCAUGCCUAUGCCACAAUGUGAACCGCAACCAAUUAGUGGUCGAACACCACGGUACGAACUGCACUGCAGACCCUCAAUUUCUUGAUCUAUUUCACACCAAAGAAUAGGGGUUCUGCAAUUACAUCACGUCGCAUACCCCUCCACGAAGUGCCAUUGUUUCCCCAUCACUGUGACUACCACGUUCGAAAAAUCCCCCUUUGCGAUCUACUUUGUGGAGUAUACCCAAAAUUCCCAAUUAAAUCUCCAAUUAAAACAAGUCAACCCAACCCAAUUUUCCCAUAUAAAAGCACCCAACACCUAAAUUCCCCUUCUUUCUCAAUUUUGAGACCUAAUCUGCGCCACUAACCCCUUCUUUGCUCUUAAAUUGGCUCCCCAACAUCACUCCACAAGAAUUAUCCUUUUCAUUUCUACUAAAUCUUCACUCUAAGAAAUUAUGGCACCAAAGGUUAACAAAGGAAAGAGAGUGGCAUCUAGCUCCCGCCGGGGUCAAAAGAGAUCACAAAUUGGGCAAUCUUCUGAGUCUACUCCUACUUCCUUGUCAACUCUUCAAAUUUCUUAUUGUAGAUUUGGUGUAGAUGGGUCGGAAAAAGGGUGUCCAGUGGUACAAAGACAAUAAAAAGCCUCAUUAUCAACCAACGGAGGUUAUUGAUAAGGACGAUUUGGCUCGACACUACCCUCACAUAUUAUCCCGUAUUAUGAAGCUGAAACUUGACUUUAUUUUUUAGGAUAUGGGCGAAUGCAACAUAGUUCCCUAAUACUCAAUAUUGUGAAGAUCCCUGGACAAAUUGUGAAGCUGACUGCUGAGGCGUUAAAUUCUAUUCUUAGCAUACUUGAGGUGGAUUACUCUAGAUUACGAGAACUAUAUAGAUGACCUAUCAGGUACACCUUGUGUGGGUCACGUUCCAUGGUUCAGUGGAAGCAUUACAAAGAGAAGGGUUACCACAACACCUUUCCUUAUGCUUUCCUAAACAAAGAGACAUGCAUUUGGUUAAGGAUAGUCAUAGAUUGCCUUAUUCUGGGGUCACACUUCACGAGUAUUUCUCGCGAUCGGGUAUGUCUUAUCUAUGCUCUUUGACUGACGUCCCAAUCAAUAUUGGUGCAGUGAUUGGUGCAUCUAUGAGCAAAGGCAGAGUACAUAAGAAAGUUUGUUUCAGAUUUAAUGGCCGAUUGACUAAGUUAUUGAGAGCUGAAGAGGUUGAGGAGGAUCCAACAAACUAUAAGCCGCAGUGAAAUUUUGAGGGGUGCUGAUGUGACAAAGGUUAAGGAACAUGAUUCUAGACAAGGAUCAGUGCUCACAUCUGUAGAGCGGAAUGCACAGGAUGAUACCUUCUUUUGCCAUCUUUAUGGAGUGACACAACUGUCUAUGAUGUGUGGCGGCCAAGCACCUACCUCCGAUGAGUUGUGCUAAUUAGAUUAUGACUAUUCAAUGAAUGAGCAUGCUAGAGCCAUGUGUUGAGUGGGACACAUUUUCAGGGAAACGGUGGAUGAUGAUGUGCCCGCUAAUAAUAAGAGAUUGUUGGUAGAUUCUGAUGCUGUGGAUUUCAAAGUAAAAUAUCUGAGUCCGACGUUGAGGAAGAGUAUUAUUAGGCCUAGGAAGUUCUUUUACCCAUCUUCAUGUUUUAUUUUAUUUGCACCGGGGAAAAUGCUGCAUUUAAGUGCGGGGCGGGGUAAAAAGUAUUCCUUGGGUAUGGUGAUUAGACUGCCUUUCUUCUUAUGUUGAAGCUAUUUACUAUUUUGAUUUGUAAUAAUUAGUAACUUGAAUUUGGCAUACUUGUUCAAUUUGGUAAGAGAACUGAUUAUGGUUUGUUUAUUUA